rnacentral:rRNA from 1 species
UGGGGAAUAUUGGACAAUGGGCGAAAGCCUGAUCCAGCCAUGCCGCGUGUGUGAAGAAGGUCUUCGGAUUGUAAAGCACUUUAAGUUGGGAGGAAGGGCAGUUACCUAAUACGUGAUUGUUUUGACGUUACCGACAGAAUAAGCACCGGCUAACUCUGUGCCAGCAGCCGCGGUAAUACAGAGGGUGCAAGCGUUAAUCGGAAUUACUGGGCGUAAAGCGCGCGUAGGUGGUUAGUUAAGUUGGAUGUGAAAUCCCGGGCUCAACCUGGGAACUGCAUUCAAAACUGACUGACUAGAGUAUGGUAGAGGGUGGUGGAAUUUCCUGUGUAGCGGUGAAAUGCGUAGAUAUAGGAAGGAACACCAGUGGCGAAGGCGACCACCUGGACUGAUACUGACACUGAGGUGCGAAAGCGUGGGGAGCAAACAGGAUUAGAUACCCGCGUAGUCCCUGAGCGGGCUGGCAAGGCGCAU